rnacentral:misc_RNA from 1 species
UCCAGAGCCGAGCGAGCGAGUAGUACUAUACGGUGCCUUCGAGACGGACAGACCGUCUAGUGCGUCGUCGUCGUCCCCUGCACGUCAAAGAGACGCAACGAGUUGUUAACGCUAGGUAAACAGAUAACACCCACCCAUCGGUUGAACAACGAUUUUCGCCCGAGUAUCGUUAAACAAGCCAACCGAGCAGUACAAUUGCACAUUCUUGACGUGAGAGUCGAAGACGGCAACUCCCCCUCAAGGAGAGACAGGAAGAGAAGGGUAGAGUGUGCACGGUAGCGACAAGGAAAGCUGCAACUGUUCUUUGGCUCCUCGAGGUUUCCUGCGUCGUCGUCGUCGUCGUCGUUCGCUAGUCGCUGGGAGUCAACGACAAGCACACAUACGCACACACUGUCUCUCGCAGCACGCGCGCAGCUGAUACAAAAGACACCACCGACCAACACACCACCACCGACCCCAAAAAGAGAUAGAGACACAAAACGGCGCGUGCACCCGCAAAAUUCAAAGAGAAUCACUGAGCUCGGCCGUCCAGCACCACCACCACGCUCUCGUCGCAAGGUCGAGUCCUCGAGAGACUCGGGGGGAGCAAACGACAAGAGGACGACCCUCGGAGGAAGCGCCGAUCACCCGGGAGCCGCGAGUCCGCGGAGGGAGUGGCGGGACAGGCGGAGUUGGCGCCGUUCGGAGGUACGGAGGCGCCGGGACGCCACCGCCGCGGCUGCACCCAUGCCGGCCGGGGGUAUUGGGGCCUCGUACCGGUCCCUCGGGGACCUGGGCGAGGACGUCUACAAGAGCACGACCAUCGUCGAGCAGACCAAAACAACCAGCCAGAGCGUGCUCGAGAGCGUCAAAAAGGCCUUCAGCUUUGCCGCGCCUAAGAUCGAGCUCGCGCUCAGGAAGAAGGAGCCGCUGAUCGUCGACAGACGCGAGAGCGUGUCCAUCGUCACCAGGGAAAAACACAAGAUGCCGACCGCAGCCAGUGCCGAGGAGUCUGCUCUGUUGGGCGCGAUGCCAUCGGACGCCAGUAUGGACGACAUCGAGCUGAAGAACAUUCAGCUGCAGUUCCCCACGUUGAGGUACCUCACGAGGGACGACGGCUCCGUCCGGGAGGAAAGGGUCGAGACCGACAGGGGCGCGCUUAUCGUCGCCGUUCAAGGGAACCGGGCGAAGCCAGCCAUUCUCACGUAUCACGAUCUUGGCCUUAACUAUAUCUCGAGCUUCCAGGCAUUCUUUAACUACAUUGACAUGCGAGUGCUCCUGGAAAAUUUCUGCGUCUACCACGUGAACGCUCCAGGCCAGGAGGAGGGCGCCCCAACAUUACCCGAAGACUACGUGUACCCAUCCAUGGAGGAACUGGGCGAGCAGCUGCUGUUCGUGAUGGGGCACUUUGGGCUAAAAAGCGCGAUCGGAUUCGGCGUCGGUGCCGGCGCUAACAUCCUCGCCCGCUUCGCCCUGGCGCAUCCCGAGAAGGUCAACGCCCUCUGUCUCAUCAAUUGCGUGUCCACGCAAGCCGGCUGGAUAGAAUGGGGCUACCAGAAGCUCAAUUGCCGCCACUUGCGCUCCCAGGGCAUGACCCAGGGGGUUCUCGACUACCUCAUGUGGCACCACUUCGGCAGGGGCACCGAGGAGAGGAACCACGAUCUCGUGCAGGUCUACAAGAACUACUUCGAGCGCCGGGUGAACCCGACAAACCUCGCGCUGUUGAUCGACAGCUACGUGCGCCGUACGGACCUCAACAUAACUCGAGAGCUCGACCCGACGCGUAAGAAGGACAGCUCGACCCUCAACGUGCCGGUGAUGAACAUCACGGGCUCCCUCAGCCCCCACGUCGACGACACGGUCACGCUCAAUGGGCGCCUCGAUCCCACCAACAGCUCGUGGAUGAAGAUCUCAGACUGCGGCAUGGUUUUGGAAGAGCAACCGGGCAAAGUAAGCGAAGCCUUUCGGCUGUUCCUGCAGGGUGAAGGAUAUGUGGUGAGAUCCCCGGGGAAGACCACGACGCCUACAACACCCGAAGGUAAUUGUAAUUAGGAAUUGAGGCCGCAAAAGGAGUCGAACGCGCUGUGUCGGUCAAUUAAUCCACGUCUAAGCGUUAAUUGCACCCCUCUCGCCGUUAAAGAUGGCGGACUACAGACGUGCUUCGACCGAGGGUCUGAAUUUCAUCUGCGCCAAGAAAAUAGAUUGGC